rnacentral:lncRNA from 1 species
GGAGUCGAUCAACACCCCAAAGCUUGACUGUAAUUAUUGCCUCUUCAUCAGUCAACAUUUUAUUACAGUUACAGUUUUGAUGCUGUUUCCUGUCAGAUGAUCGUGUUACAUGUGUUAGUAUCUGUUGUUUCUUUUUCUUCUUCUCUUGUGUUUUUUUUUUUGGGAAAUUCUGUACAGAAGAUAUGUACUAGCACCCUCUAUCAUAUAACAAUGAAAACGUACUCGGUUACUAACGUAACCUCGGUUCCCUGAAAUACGGGAACGAGUACUGCGUCGAAGACGCAUAUGGGAAAAACCCCCUUUUUCUCCUGAACUGAAGCCUUAUUCAAUCACGCAGUGAAACUGCACAGCCAUUGGAUCGUGCAGUGCUAUUAAAACAAACCAAUGGCUUGGCAGCGGUGCUGCACGAACCUAUGGCAGCGAAGCCCGCCAAAUCUGGCUAUAUAUUGGCCGCUUCGCCACAGGAAUUCAGGUUACUUCGACUGAAGCGACGACUGAGUUGUGCAGCCUUUUUAGCAUGGCAAGGAACGCAGUACUGCGUCGAAGACGCAUAUGGGAACCCAGUUCAAUCACGCCAUGCUAAGAAGGGAGGACGACCAACGCAAUCAAACUUGAUUUGUUAAACCAAGAUAUGAUAAUAGCAACUAGGGGCAGAAUAAGCUCAAUGAGGUUACGUCUGGCCUAGCCUGAUCAUCCCGUGUUCGUAUCGCCUCAGUAGCCAAGGGACCGAGUGCAUACGAGUAGAAGUUUGAGCCUUGGGCAAGAAUGGCCAAGAGCAUGCAAAUGAGGAACAAGAAGGUGACCUUCACACAGAAAGUACCCUAGCAUGAAGCGCUGGGACGUCUAGAUUGUAAAAUCUAGCAAAUGUGGACGGCGAGCUCCAGCCAGCCGCCUCACAAAUUUCUGCGAUAGUCACACCAUUAGACCAUGCCCAAGACGAAGACACUGCUCUCGUCGAAUGGGCUCUUACUCCAAUUGGGCUUUGCAGGCCCAAAGAAGAGUAGGCUAGCUGGAUUGCAUCCACAAUCCACCUUGAAAGUCUUUGCUUAGAGACCGGUAACCCUCUGGUGCGGUUUCCAAAGCAUAUGAAGAGCUGUUCUGAUCGUCUUAUUGGUGCAGAACGCUCUAUGUAGACUUUUAGAGCCCUCACUGGGCAAAGUAGACUCAGCCCUGGAUCCUCCUCUGUGUUUUGUAACGCAGUGAGGGUGACCACUUGUGCUCUAAAAGGUGUGGAGAGCACCUUUGGCACAUAGCCAUGCCUCGGUUUCAGGACGACCCUCGAGUCGUUAGGCCCGAAUUCUAGGCAAUUAGGGCUUAUCGAAAGUGCUUGCAAAUCACCCACACGCUUAACAGACGCUAGUGCCAAUAGCAGAGCGGUCUUUAGCGACAGGGCUUUAAGGCCUAUGGACUGUAGCGGUUCAAAGGGGGCCCCCUUCAGGGCUCUCAGCACCGUGGGCAGGUCCCAAGAAGGGACGGUGGAGGGCAAGGCGGAUGAAGCCGUCUGGCACCUCUCAUAAAUCGGACGACUAAGUCGUUUCUGCCCACCGACUGGCCUGCUAUAAGGGCGUGUGAUGCCGCUAUAGUUGCUUACGACUAGUACGUUACGUAGACGGUCGGUAGGGGGAGGGUACGUUCCCGUUCCCCAUGUGGAGAACACAGACCAUUUGGAGGCAUAGAGGCGUCGUGUAGACGGAGCUCUAGCCUGUGAAAUGUGUCUAGCACACGCUCAGGGGAGUCCCGCG